rnacentral:rRNA from 1 species
GCAAUGCCCGCAAGGGUGACCCAGCAACGCCGCGUGGAGGAUGAAUGUCGCAAGAUUGUAAACUCCUGUUAGAGGGGAAGAAUAGUACCGGUUGGACCGGUAUAUGACUGUACCCUCAGAGAAAGCCCCGGCUAACUACGUGCCAGCAGCCGCGGUAAUACGUAGGGGGCAAGCGUCGUCCGGAUUUACUGGGUGUAAAGGGCGCGCAGGCGGGAUAAAAAGUCAGUGGUGAAAUCCUACAGCUUAACUGUAGAACUGCCUUUGAUACUUUUAUUCUUGAGUUCGGGAGAGAGAGACAGAAUUCCAGGUGUAGUGGUGAAAUACGUAGAUAUCUGGAAGAACACCAGUUGCGAAGGCGGUCUCUUGGUCCGACACUGACGCUGAGGCGCGAAAGCGUGGGGAG